UGUCCAGUAGCACCUUAGAGACCAACUAAGUUUGUUCUUGGAAUAAGCUUAUAUCAAGAACAAACUUAGUUGGUCUCUAAGGUGCUACUGGACA